GCAGCAGCAGAGGAGGAAAAAACCACAGAACCUCUCCUGCAAACUCAGAAGCCUCACGCCCCAAAGGGAAAUGGAUCACCAGAGGGUCCACUGCGACCAGUAAAGGUCUUAGUGGUGGGAAUUCCCUCCCCCCAAGGAGCCUCUGGAGUGUGCCAGAGGAUCAAAGGUCACAGUACCAGCUGUAGCUCCAAGGUCAAGGGGACCUUACCUAUGGUCAAAUCAGUGGACUCCCAAGAUGCUUCUGGUUUGGAAAUUUUCCAGAAGGAACAAGAGUUACUGACAAAUGAAAUAAGGCACAUCUAAAUGAGUUCCAAGAACAAUACAUUUUCUAUCUUUUGCUUCUUGUGGCUAAUAUAAAAACAGGAACAGGUACAAUUAGCAGUUGUUGAAGUCAUACCUGCCCAGACUCCCCUGGGCUGCAGCCAGAAUGAUUUCAACAUGCUUGAUCUAAGUCCCGUUCCAGAAAAGAUUCAAUUGCUCUCCCUUCUUAGCUCACAGGGACCGUUUUGAGCCCUACACAGGCUCAGCAACACACACAGCAAUGCAUCUGUGUGCCAGGCACUGUGUUGAUGUGGCUGGUACAGAGACACAGCCAAGAGGAGUAGUUGGAAGAGUUGGCAGUUGAAAUAUAAUGCAGCAAGAACUAUGAAGGUAAAGAGCAGAGGCAGGAGAAAGCAGAACAAUAGGGCUGACUGGAUGAAGAGGAAGCCAGCCAGUCUCUAAGGGUAUCUUAUCACCACAGUGGCUCAUUGGAACCUGAGUGUCUGUGAAAUUUCAUACUCAGUAACUUACCUAACCAGAGAAAUGGACCUUGGUUCUGCUCCUGCAGAAGACCACAGCGCCCCCAAGUGGACAUUUUAAAACCACUCCUCCUGGUGCCAACUUCUUUCUGUUGAGGCAUCUCGCCCUGUACACAUUGAACUCCACAGGGUCCAGGCUCAUCUCUUCUUGCCACCCAAUCAGCUGAAAUAUUAAAAUCAGACAAUUCAGGACCUGAAACUCUUUUCUAAGAAUGAAUGCUUGGCUUUAUUGUUUUGUUAUUUUACUUUUGAACUUUUAAUAUGGCUACCCAAAGACUCCUGAGUUAGAAAAAUCAUCCAGUGAAACUGAAUAUAGAAUAAGGAUGACUGACAUGUAAAAUGCCUUUUGUAGAAUUAAAACCAAGAGGAGGGAAAAAAAAAGUCCUCUUCAAGACAAUUUGAAGACAAAUUGGUAACUAUGGUUACCUCUAAUUAGUGAGCACCUUAUGCUUUCCAGAUUUGAGUGAAGGAAAAGUGAAAGGAAAAACAUACCAAAUAAGUAAAAAUGCUAUGCUCCACCGAGUGCAUGUAGUCUUGUAUUCUGAACAUAACAACAUGAUCAAGUUGGCUAAUAUCAAAUCAGCCUUCUCCAUCUUCAUCUUCACUUUCUCUGUCUCUCUCUGCACAAUAGGGACUCAUAAACUCAAAUGGGGAGUUAAGGAAACCUUCAUGAAGAAGGUGACACCAGAGGUCAGGUGCUAGAUAGGCAGCUCAUUAUAGAGUCACACUGGUGCAAAAGGCCAAGCUGGCUGAAUUAUGGUGAAAGUACAGAGUGUCCAGAAGGGCUCCUCCUAUUCUGUGCUGGACACCAGGCAAAGGAGGCACCUGGCUGUGGACCCCUGACAAGUGUCCAACAGACAGUUUGUAAUUACUUGGAUUUGAACUUGAGCAGAGAGGGAAGCUCCCAGAGAACUUGUUCUAGAAUGUUCUUCAGGUUUCCUAGGAGAUGGGGGCACAACACAAACAGCAUAUCCACCCACAAAGAAAGAAGCAAGGAGGAGGCAUCUCCUGAUCCACCUCAGUCCCUUGGCCCCUCCUAGAGCUGAGAUGUUGUCAAAGCCCUGUCUUCUGACUGAAUAAGUCUCCAGCAAAAUCCAGGCUGGGCCACACUUAUAAAAGAAGGACAGAAAACUCCUGUGUCUCUCUCUGAGAGGUUUCUCUCUACUUCGGGAAAGAAGGACUUCAACUUACAAGUGAUGAGCUAGUAAGAUGGGUUUCCAGUGAACACUAGAAGCUGCAGUUUACAGAACAAAAUAGUUAUUCUCUUCCUGACUGGAAAACAAGUGUGGAGUUGGAGCUUGAAUAAGACAAACUUUGGCCUCAAUUGGAACCUCUACAGUAUACAAUUUUUUUUUCAUCCAUUAACUCAAAUGCUUUGUUCUGAGAUGAUUGUGGUCCAGGCACUGUACUGUGCACCAGAGAUGCUGAAAUGAGAGCUGAAAGGGACUGACAUCAGGCUUCCUCAUUCUAGGGGGACGUGAUAAAUCAAGACAAAGAGCAAAGAUUUGGAAUGAUUUGCACUUGGACACCUAGUGACAUUUCAAACUCAACUGUGCAUACUUCAACUCAUGGAUUUCUCCUGAAACUUUAUCCACCUAAUACCUUCCCCAACUCAACUGAUGGACACUCCAUCCUUCCAGCUGCUUAGGUGAAAAGCCUUGGGAAGAUCUUUGACUCCUCUCACCUUCCAUCUAAUCCUCAGCAAACCUCUUUGUCAGAUUGGCUUCAAAAUGCAUUUAGAAUUAACCCUCUCUUCACCUCUUUCUCCACCACCACCUGGAACAGAGCCACCAACUAUCCGUCAACUGGAUUAUUGUGCUAGCCCCGCAAUUGAUAUGACUGCCUCUACUCUAGAGUUUAUAUGCAUAAUCAUAGCAAUGUGCUAGGGUCCUUGUUUCUAAACAGGCGUCAGGGCUAUGGUUUAUCAUCACGGUUUCCUUCCUUCACUGCAUUUUCCACCUUGGAAAGCCCAUCUAAUAGGCCUGGCCACAUAUGGUUUGGAACUUGCUAAAAUGAAAAUUUUCAUUACUCUCACAAAGAAUUCCGACCAACGGAGGUAAAAGUUGAACUAGGUGCUGGAGGAAUGAGUCACAAUUAUCACCCAGUAGGAAGGACUGGCUCUUUUUCAACAGAGAAUAUGGGGAAUUGCUUAAGAAGGGGAUGGAAGAUUGAAAAAGCCAAAGGGAACGUUGGGAAAACAUAGUGCUGAUAACCACAGGAAUCAGAGCCCCCACUUCUGUAAGACUUGGGGAGCAAAGGAAACAGGUUAGAAUAAAA